rnacentral:rRNA from 1 species
UACGUAGGGUGCGAGCGUUAAUCGGAAUUACUGGGCGUAAAGUGUGCGCAGGCGGCACCGCAAGUCGAGUGUGAAAGCCCCGGGCUUAACUUGGGAAUUGCGCUCGAAACUAUGGUGCUGGAGUGUGGCAGAGGAAGGUGGAAUUCCAGGUGUAGCGGUGAAAUGCGUAGAUAUCAGGAGGAACACCGGCGGUGUAGACGGCUUUCUGGACCGUAGCUGACGCUGAGACACGAAAGCGUGGGUAGCAAACAGG